CGCAACAAGCAGUUUUGAAUAUGUGCGCCGAAUUUGCUGAACCUGGGAAGAAGGAGAGAGACUGCUUGCAUUUUUAUCACUGGACAAAGACCGAUUACUUCUAUACAAUAAAAGAAAGGAAAAGUGCUUGUGGUAACUGUCUUCUCUGAGCACCAGUCUCAUCAACACGGGCCACAGUACACUGGAGAUAUAUGAGGACACUUGACACCCUACAACUCCUAAAAAUAACCCAGAUUUGACAGCAGUGCACACCCAUCAGAGGGCUACCUAUUUUACUUUGUGAUUACCCCAGAUACUUCUAC